UACGGGGGGGGCAAGCGUUGUUCGGAAUUACUGGGCGUAAAGGGUCUGUAGGUGGCUUGCUAAGUCAGACGUGAAAUCCCUCAGCUUAACUGGGGAACUGCGUCUGAGACUGGCGAGCUUGAGGGCAGGAGAGGAACGCGGAAUUCCAGGUGUAGCGGUGAAAUGCGUAGAUAUCAAGAGGAACACCUGAGGCGAAGGCGGGUUGCUUGUCUGACACUGACGCUGAUGCGCGAAAGCCAGGGGAGCAAACGGG
rnacentral:rRNA from 1 species